CCUUCGGGAGCUGACGAGUGGCGGACGGGUGAGUAACGCGUAGGAAUCUGCCUUAUAGUGGGGGACAACGUGGGGAAACCCACGCUAAUACCGCAUACGCCCUACGGGGGAAAGCGGGGGCUCUUCGGACCUCGCGCUAUGAGAUGAGCCUGCGUUAGAUUAGCUAGUUGGUAGGGUAAAGGCCUACCAAGGCGACGAUCUAUAGCUGGUCUGAGAGGACGAUCAGCCACACUGGGACUGAGACACGGCCCAGACUCCUACGGGAGGCAGCAGUGGGGAAUAUUGGACAAUGGGCGCAAGCCUGAUCCAGCAAUACCGCGUGUGUGAAGAAGGCCUUAGGGUUGUAAAGCACUUUCAAUGGGGAGGAAAACCUGCCGGUCAAUACCCGGUAGCUUGACAUUACCUGUAGAAGAAGCACCGGCUAACUCCGUGCCAGCAGCCGCGGUAAUACGGAGGGUGCGAGCGUUAAUCGGAAUUACUGGGCGUAAAGCGUGCGUAGGCGGUUCGUUAAGUCAGAUGUGAAAGCCCCGGGCUCAACCUGGGAACUGCAUUUGAAACUGGCGGACUAGAGUUUAGUAGAGGGGAGUGGAAUUUCAGGUGUAGCGGUGAAAUGCGUAGAUAUCUGAAGGAACACCAGUGGCGAAGGCGACUCCCUGGACUAGAACUGACGCUGAGGUACGAAAGCGUGGGUAGCAAACAGGAUUAGAUACCCUGGUAGUCCACGCCGUAAACGAUGUCAACUAGCCGUUGGUCCUAUUUACAGGAUUAGUGGCGCAGCUAACGCAUUAAGUUGACCGCCUGGGGAGUACGGCCGCAAGGUUAAACUCAAAUGAAUUGACGGGGGCCCGCACAAGCGGUGGAGCAUGUGGUUUAAUUCGAUGCAACGCGAAGAACCUUACCUACCCUUGACAUCCAUAGAAUC
rnacentral:rRNA from 1 species